UCCACUUAAAUUUGAGAAGAAACUUCUCAGUGAGGGUAACAGAACACUGGAACAGGCUGCCCAGGGGGGUUGUGGAUUCACUUUCUCUGCAGACAUUCAAAACCUGCCUGCACACAUUCCUGUGUAGCCUCAUCUAGGUGUUCCUGCUCUGGCAGGGGGAUUGGACUAGAUGAUCUUUUGAGGUCCCUUCCAAUCCCUAGCAUUCUGUGAUUCUGUGAUUCUAGGAGAUUCUCCUACACCACCACUUGUCUCCACCCUUUUCCUCUCAAUUUCUUUGAUACCCUAUUAGCUGUCUUUUAGAUCUGAAUCUUGAUCGUGGAGUGGGUCAAUACUUGGACAUGUCAGAAAUUGAGGUUACAGAUAUGUCUAGUUCUAGAUCUUCAUUGCCUCCUGUUUUUAAGACAUGCCUGGUUUUUAUGGCAGUACAAGUGGGAAGCACAUACCCGCAUUUAUACCCAACAACCUUAGGUACUCCAAUCUAAUAAUUGGGUACCUUUCUGGAACUGAAUCAACUGAAGAUAACUUAUAACACACAGAGCAAAGAUAGACAAACAAAUAUCAGCUGUCAGGGCACCAAUGAGUGCCUCGUCUUUCACACAGCUGUACAGGGUAAAGUAAUGAUGCACAGCUGUGCUCAGUCAGACAUGCUUAGGAAAAUAAGGCAGUGUUCUGCCAGAAAAUACAGAGGAGGGUGAAGCAUUUGUGCUAGAAGAAUAGGGAGUCCUUUUGUCCCCCCUGCUUCCAAUAACGAGAUUGAAGUAUUAAAUAUAGAAGAAGUGUCUGGUGACCAUAUAUGCAACCAUAUUCCUGAAAACUUAGUAGAAGAAAAGGCAGAUUGGAGAAAUAUCUGGACAGCAGUCCUGAAAAAGAGAGAAGAAAACAUGUUUUGAAGUCACCCUCCCAGGGACCGAGAAGGACUAAUGUCUUUAAUAGCUGCAGAUGAGCACCGAUGUGCAGAAAGGGAGUUGAUGCUGUCCUGGAAACAUGAGGGAGGUGAGUCAAGGAAAUAAUUUUUCUGGAACUGAGGGUGCCAAACUACUGUAGCAACCACGUAACAAAAUGAUACAACGUGACAGUGAAGUAGCCUAACCCUACAUCUUUCUAUAUACACACUAUCAUAUGCACAACUUGUAUGCCUGUAUACUUGGCAGAGUUUUUUCAAGUUCAUCUGAGUAUUGUAAUUUAUUUCAAAUAACAUGUUUCUCUGUGGAGUGACAAAUAACUUGUUGUAACUUGGAAAACUAUAGUGUAUUGGCAGGUGACUGUGGAUGAAAAAAAAUAAUAUCCUUUUGAUAGACGAUAGUGAAAGCAUAGAUAUAUUAAAGACAUAAUUAGUGAUAUUUGGCAAAACACCAAUGGCAACAUGUUGGUUUAUGUAAUUUUCCAUUAUAUAUUCACUUUUGUAUCAUUUUCUGUUUAUCUAAUGAUCAAGAUGGGGUAUUUUCUAUAUAGGCUUUUUUUUUUUUUUUGUAUUAUAGCUGAAUAUUUCAUACCAUUUUUAUUACCUGAAGCUCCUUACAUUUCUUGCUUUGAAUUAGAAAAAAAAAUAAUUUCACACGUAUUAGUGAAAAACUUCAUGAGCUGUAAUGCAUAAGGUCGUUAGAUGAGGUUAAAGCCUGAUUGACUUGAUUCACAUUAAUUAAUCUUGUGUCUUCACUAUGUUCUUGUGUCCUGAGUAUUCUCAGGAUAGGUACCUAUAACUUGACUAUUUUCAGAUUAUGUGAAAUACUGUGAAGUGAAACAUUGAUGUAUAAAUGUGAUAUAAAAUAUGAUAAUAUGGCAUAAUGUGACUUUAGACUCAGAUUUUGUCAGGAAAAAACAGUAGUUACAUCAGACUUGAUCUAAACUCAGUAUCUUAGAUUACAUUGUUGCUUCUCUUGCCAAAGAUCUGUUUUGAUUAGUUAGCACUAAUGGGCCGUUGUUUGUGAACUUCUGCCCAGGGUGAGAGUGAUAUACUGAACAAAAAGACCUUUGUAAGCUAGAGGCCACCUUAUGUGUCAGCUCUUUCAAAACUGCUUAGUACUUUUGUUCUUUAACAAAGGGAACAACACAAAGUCUUUUGCAUUGCCAGUAUUAAGGAACAGCCAAGGUAAAGUUUCCUACAGAUGAUGAAGAAAGGUAAAAGGCUUUCUUUUUAUUUCAUAAUGGAAUUAGAGAUUAUAACUGUUUUAAAGUAUGAGGGUUUUCCUAUAGCUGAACCUCAUUUUGUAUGUAUGACAUAAGGUAUGAAAUUAGCUUUAUGUUCCAAAGAAAGGUAUUUCUAAUUUACUACUUCUAGCAGACAAAUGACAUGGUUUCCUUCUUAAAAUUCUCUUUGGAAGGACUUUGUCUUUUCCAAGUGUUAUAAAAAGCCAUUAGACUAUGCUAUUGUUUUGGUGAUCCUGUUUAACAAAACGUUUUGUCCCUUCCUAGCAUGUAUAACAUAUAGAACAUUUCUCUAGUUUGUGCACACAUCAUGCAUUAAAACUGAGCCCUGCGUACCACCAGUAAUCUAUUAACACUCAUGAUAGUUGUGAAAACAUAUCAAUGUUUCCUGCUCCUCUUUCUGCUGUGACCUUGGCUCCAGCUGCUUUCAUUAUCAUGUUCCUGAUGGAAUAGACAUUCUCACUGUUUCAGGUUGAGGAACCUAACUUUUCAGGAUAAUGUUAGACAAGCUGCUGUAAGAUAGGUAUAACCUGUAGGAAAUUAUAGGCCCAGGCCUACCACAUGUAUAAGAGAAAAAAAAAGAUAUAUAUUUGAUGACCCAUCGCUUCCUGUAUGUUAGUAGUGAAACAGUCUGGGUCAUCUCCAACAUACACUUCCUUUCUGUUGCUCAGAAGCUGCUGAUACAGGGAGAUAAUACCCACUGGUUGAAAUGGGCAGUAGUCUGUACCUGAGAUGACAGUUAUCAUCUAGAAGGUAUAAAAUAUACACAUGUGGAGGUCUCCCUAGAGUUCCCUUGUUCUUAGAGUCAUAGAAACAUUUUGGUUGGUAGAGAUACUCAAGAUCACGGAGUCCAACCAUUAACCUAACACUGGCACUAAAUUAUGUCUUUAAGAACCUCAUCUAUAUGUCUUUUAAACACCUCCAGGGAUGGUGACUUCUCCACUUACCUGGGGAGCCUGUUCCAAUGCCUGACAACUCUUUCUGUAUGUGCUCGUGGAUUGUAGAGGUAGCUUAGGAAUCUCUUUUUAUAUAUGCACACAGAAACAUUUUAUUAAGAAACCUUUUUAAAGAUUUUUUUAAUGUAUUUAUUACAUAUUUUAUAUUUACUAUAUCAUUUAGUUUUGUUCUUUUCAUGUUAGAAGAAUCAUAACUGUUAUGGGGAUCUGUAUACCUGAUCUAGAAAAGCUGGACUACCUAUUAAUUCUGUACUGGCCAGAAAAUGACCUGCUGUGGCAGUCAUAUCUUGGUAAAAUUUGCUCAUGUUGCCACUGAUUUAGAAGCGUUAGAACUGAAAACUGCUUAAAUACUGUAUGUUUUUCUACUUUUUCUCCCAUCUCAGUUGUUAAAUUCUGAUUCAUUGCAGUAGGAUUUAUCCUAGUUAUAAAGUAUUCUGUGUUUUAAAGUAUUUGGGGAUUCUUAAAAAACAAUGUAUUUAUUAAGUUAGCUGAAUUGUAAAAUACUGUUUUGAAUAAACUAAAACCACACACAAAAAAAAUUAAUUUCUAAAGCUGUCAGUAGGUUAUUCUGUGUAAACACCACUUGCAAACAAGCCUGUUUGCUGUGUGGAAAGCAAGCAGCUUUCUGUUGAGUUUCCAAAGUCUUGCUGCCAAACUAUGCAAGAUCAGCUUUUUACUCCAUCCUCUAAAUCUACCAACAAACUAUAAGCAUCCUUCAAAUGUAAACUACUAUAAACUAAUUGUGUCCUGUUUUAUAAGGGGGAAACAGUGUUGCUUGGAGGAUAAUGGAAGAUACAAGGUAAUGAAAUAAACCAGUAUUUCACAUUCAGUUGACUUUUUGCUGUGGUAAAUAAACUAUUACCUAUUUAUGUAAGCAGUUUGUAAGACUUGCAAAUUUACUUCUGAUGACUCUCGUGAGAAGAGGUGGAACCAGACACAACUUUAAAAAUAAGCAAAAUAACCAUAGCUCUCUCUUUUCAGCUGUGAACAAAAAAGGUGUACAGCCUUCCAAACUCCUUUCUCUCCAGUACAGAGAUAGUUAAUUUAUUUAUCAAUAACUGCAUAACAGUUACUGUACUAUGAAAUGUGUGUAGAAAUGAGUAAAACCUCUAAAUAAUUUCUACCAGAGAUUAAUUGAUGAUGUUGUCCAAAGGUGUGGUAAUACACAAGGGAGGAAUGGAGAAGUUCAAACAUACAAAUGGCUGACUGGAAAAUACAAAUAAUGCAUUUCAUUUUUCUUCCCUGUCUUUUGCUUAAAACCAGACCUGAAGGUUUCUGGGAACAGAACAGGAAAACCUGAGCUGUGCACAGAAAGGUCCAUAUGAUAAUAAGAUUUUACGGCAAUGCAGCUCUACUGGAGAGAAAAAACCAUCCUGGAAAGAAUUCAAAGAAUUUGAUCUUAAGUUCUGCAUCCAAAGUUAGCUUCCUUAUGUUUAUGUCUUCAACAGCUUAGCAUCUAACAGGAAUUACAGGACAUUAUUUAGGAGAUUUGUAUUCCUCGGAAGACACAGUUAGCAUUGGCAGAAACAAGUGAUCAAUAUAAUAGUUCGAGACUAAUAUUGUAUAGUCAAUUAAAUGCAGUUAAAUGAUGGGAUAAUAAUUUUAAGGUUAAGUAGAUUAUUAGUCAUAAUUCUGAUGUUAUUUAUUGUUUCAGACAAGCAUAUCCUUUCAGCUUUCUGUAUUCCUUGGAUUUCAGUUCCAGAUAUUUAGGAAACUCAAUUGACCUCUUAACCCUCAAUUUACUUCUUUCUUUUGUUUUAAAAAUGCUUUCUCCUUUCAUAUUCCUACCAAGAGCCAUCUGUACUGUUAAUUGUUGUUAUUGAUUUUAAGCAGGCGUGUGCUCUUUGUUUAAAGAUUGUCAAAUCAUAGUCAGAAAAGACAGAAUUUUUGAAGGCUUAAAUUCAUAAAGCUGUCAGUAAAUCAGUCCUAUGACAUUGUUUCCUCAAAAAACUUGCUCUAUCUUUAUUUAAACUUUGUUUCAAUAUUGCAUAGUGUCAAGGUUUGAUUUCAGGGUGACAAUAAACUGUGACAGAUGCUUUGUUAAACCCUUUCCUUUCCACCCAUUCUUGCUCCCACCCCCUUCCCAUUAAGUAAAGGUAAUAGGAGGGCAAAGAGAGAGAAAGCUUGCAAGUUGGAAAAAAUUAAAAAUGUAUUACUAGUGCUACUAAUAAUAUAGAGAAAAUAAUACAAAAUAUACAAAACCAGUCUUGAAA